rnacentral:rRNA from 1 species
UACGUAGGGUGCAAGCGUUGUCCGGAAUUAUUGGGCGUAAAGAGCUCGUAGGCGGUUUGUCGCGUCGAAUGUGAAAACCCGGGGCUCAACCCCGGGCCUGCAUUCGAUACGGGCAGACUAGAGUUCGGUAGGGGAGUCUGGAAUUCCUGGUGUAGCGGUGAAAUGCGCAGAUAUCAGGAGGAACAUCGGUGGCGAAGGCGGGACUCUGGGCCGAUACUGACGCUGAGGAGCGAAAGCGUGGGGAGCAAACAGG